UCUUUCUCAUUUUUUCACAUGUAAGUUAGCUUCAUGUCCGCUCAAAUGCUUGCUGCAUCUCAAGCAAUGUGUGGUGAGUUAUACGACUAUCCGAGGAAAAUUGAAUCUACUCACAUCACACUUCUUUCCUCUUUCACCACAGCCGCUAAAUAUUUUUUGUUGACAAAUGUAGAUGUACUUAUUUACUUAUACAGAUGCGGCGACCGGUAUGUCUGCAGACGACAUGGAGAAUUUGGAAAAACAAGCUCGAGCAAUGGCUGAACAAGCGAAAAAGAAUCAAGUGAAGCCGAAACGUGAUGUUCUUUUUGUGAAGUAAUUAAUGGAUCGUGGCUUAUUGCUUUAGCAAGCGAAGCAACUGAUGAGGACAAUUUAGAAGCGUUGGCAAGAAUAGCGAAUCCUGAAGAGAUCUCAAUUGAUGAAGACGAUGAAGACGAAGAUGCAAAGAUUGAAGAAGUUCAACUUGAACAACAAAUAGUGCCUUCAAAGGUUUUUGGAAGCCUUAUAAAAGACGACUAGAUUUCAUUGAUGGAUAAUAAGUUGUACGGUCAUGGAACAUUCUUGCUUUGGUUGCGUCUUUGGAGCUUAACUUCAUCGUUAUUUGAAAAGUUUGUUUUUCGUCAUGUAUCACUUUUUGAAGGAGGAAACUUCACCACAGUCAAGACAUUCAAAUGAGUCAUAAUGCUUUUGUAUGAUUUUGCAUUUACAUAAACCCUCGACAUUAGCUUCCGUAUUUGUGGAUAUCCAAUAACAUAUAAGGUACUUUUGGACCAAUCAAGCUCUCUAUAAAAGAGGCCAAAAGCUGUCUUCAAUCAUCAUUCAUCAUCCUGCUGUUGGAACCAGAAGAAAACAAGAAAAAGGUUAAUCAUGAAGAUAACCUAUCUUGUCAUCGCUCUUGGAUUGCUUUGCACUUUUGCUUACGCUCAAGCGAAACUUGAAGAUGAGGUUAUGAAAGAAUACGAUGAAAAAACCGCCCCAGUGGAAACUGUCAAAGAAGAAUUUGUAGAAAAUGAUGAUGAAAAUCCAGAAGAAGAAAAUGAUGAUGAAAAUCCAGAAGAAGAAAAUGAUGAUGAAAAUCCAAAAGAAGAAAGUGAUGAUGAAACUGACCCCGAACAUGACUUAGAACAAAGUGAUGAUCGUGAACUCACAGAGAACAAUAAUGAUGUGAAAGCUGAUCCAAGUGUAGAAAAACGCUCGCCUUUUUGGCGUCGACGUCGCUAUUAUUAUUAUAGACGUCGUCGCUAUUAUUAUUAUAGACGUCGUCGUUUUUGGCAUCGUCGUCGUCGUAGUUGGGGCUAAUAUGGCAAAAACCCGUAAGGAUCCUGUGGAAUGUGUAGCGAUUAAUAAGAAACAUUCAUUUGAUUCUAGACGUACUUUAAAUUGGCAUUGUUGUAUGAUUUGCCUGUAGAAAAUAGAUGUUUGCAUUGAUCAUUGA